AGAGUUUGAUCCUGGCUCAGGACGAACGCUGGCGGCGCGCCUAACACAUGCAAGUCGAACGAGAGAGAGGGAGCUUGCUUCCUCAAUCGAGUGGCGAACGGGUGAGUAACGCGUGAGGAACCUGCCUCAAAGAGGGGGACAACAGUUGGAAACGACUGCUAAUACCGCAUAAGCCCACGGGUCGGCAUCGACCAGAGGGAAAAGGAGCAAUCCGCUUUGAGAUGGCCUCGCGUCCGAUUAGCUAGUUGGUGAGGUAACGGCCCACCAAGGCAACGAUCGGUAGCCGGACUGAGAGGUUGAACGGCCACAUUGGGACUGAGACACGGCCCAGACUCCUACGGGAGGCAGCAGUGGGGAAUAUUGCACAAUGGGGGAAACCCUGAUGCAGCGACGCCGCGUGGAGGAAGAAGGUCUUCGGAUUGUAAACUCCUGUUGUUGAGGAAGAUAAUGACGGUACUCAACAAGGAAGUGACGGCUAACUACGUGCCAGCAGCCGCGGUAAAACGUAGGUCACAAGCGUUGUCCGGAAUUACUGGGUGUAAAGGGAGCGCAGGCGGGAAGACAAGUUGGAAGUGAAAUCCAUGGGCUCAACCCAUGAACUGCUUUCAAAACUGUUUUUCUUGAGUAGUGCAGAGGUAGGCGGAAUUCCCGGUGUAGCGGUGGAAUGCGUAGAUAUCGGGAGGAACACCAGUGGCGAAGGCGGCCUACUGGGCACCAACUGACGCUGAGGCUCGAAAGUGUGGGUAGCAAACCAGGAUUAGAUACCCUGGUAGUCCACACCGUAAACGAUGAUUACUUUGUGGUGGAGGAUUGACCCCUUCA
rnacentral:rRNA from 1 species